ensembl:snRNA U6 U6 spliceosomal RNA
GUGCUGCUUCAGCAGCACAUAUACUAAAAUUGGAACAAUACGGAGAUUAGUGUGGCCCCUGCAUAAGGAUGACAUGCAAAUUCGUGAAGUGUUCCAUAUUUUU